GCCAGGUGUCUGAAAUAAGCCACGUAGCGGAAUAUAUAACAUUAUUAUGUGAAACCGCAGAAGGAAGAUGUAUAUCCAUCAUAAAGCCAUACGACAACGACCCAAACGACGGGCAAGGCGAAACAAUACAAGUACUAGGCUACGUUGUCAACCUCUUCACACGCUGAGGUGUGUCUCACCUAAACGAACAGACCCGCGCUGUAGUCAAAAGCAGACAUGGAUUCAAAUGUGUCCCUCUACAAGAGGAGGAUGGAGGAGGGAGGAGAGGAAUCAGUGUGUGCAUGUGAGGGAGAGAGAAAGAGAGAGAGAGGGAGUUCCAUCUGGUGAAACGGAGUGGGCAGGAGGAAAAAGUGACAGAUGUGGGGGCCAGUGCCAGUGUGAGAGUGAGAGUGGGAGUUGUCAGACAUGUCGACUCCGGUGCGGUGAUGGAUGGCCAGUGAGAACUUUAGAAAUCACAAGAACAAAAAAGACCAGAACCAGAAAUCCGCCGACAGCCCCUAUGCCAAUGAAAACGCUGGAUGGACUGCGCUUGGGUUCUAAAGAAAGCAGAAGAAUAUGGAGGGCUUGUGUUCCUCCCAUCCCCCCGUCCACACCUCCACUCCUUUUCCUCCUCCUCCUCCUCCUCUGGCAAGCUGAGGAAGGGAGAACCCCGUAGCCCAGCACAGGGAUAGCAGCCGACAGAGAAUGCACCUCUGACACGGAGCCAUACAGCAGCACAGACAACCAGCAGCGGAAGCCCUCUGCCCACAGAUAAUUGGAUAAAGGCAAAGUCUGCGAAGGUCAGCCAAGAAACAAGCAGCAGCUGCCAGAGUGAAGACCACAGGACUACAAUUACCUCAACAGUGUACAGCGCUGGAGCAAAGUGAAUGACAGAUUGGAGGCACGGGCGAUGGUGAAGAUUGAGUUUGGCUUCCAGCAACGCUGAGAAAGUGCCUGUGAGCCCGGCGAGCAGCCAGCCGUUGCAAAGGGGAAGAUCGAGCUAGGAGCCGAGUGGCGCGUGUGACAGGUUCUAUCUAAGCGAGGGACCACCACCACACUCUCCAGCCUCUGCUCAGCCCACUAGCUCAGCAGCAGCAGCAGUCUCAGUGGCAGCAGUGAUUCCCUCAACUCCAGCGCAGCCAGCUGUACAUGGAGAUCCCCCGCUGGGCAGGU